UACGUAGGGUGCGAGCGUUGUCCGGAAUUAUUGGGCGUAAAGAGCUCGUAGGCGGCUUGUCGCGUCGGAUGUGAAAGCCCGGGGCUUAACUCCGGGUCUGCAUUCGAUACGGGUAGGCUAGAGUUCGGUAGGGGAGAUCGGAAUUCCUGGUGUAGCGGUGAAAUGCGCAGAUAUCAGGAGGAACACCGGUGGCGAAGGCGGAUCUCUGGGCCGAUACUGACGCUGAGGAGCGAAAGCGUGGGGAGCGAACAGG
rnacentral:rRNA from 1 species